CGCGACCCCAGGUCAGGCGGGGCUACCCGCUGAGUUUAAGCAUAUCAAUAUAUAGCGAGAAACGAACUAACGAGGAUUCCCCUAGAAACAGCGAGAGAACGGGAAAAUUUUAAA
rnacentral:rRNA from 1 species